rnacentral:rRNA from 2 species
CUAUACAUGCAGUCGAACGAGUUCUGAUUAUUGAAAGGUGCUUGCAUCUUGAUUUAAUUUUGAACGAGUGGCGGACGGGUGAGUAACACGUGGGUAACCUGCCCUUAAGUGGGGGAUAACAUUUGGAAACAGAUGCUAAUACCGCAUAAAUCCAAGAACCGCAUGGUUCUUGGCUGAAAGAUGGCGUAAGCUAUCGCUUUUGGAUGGACCCGCGGCGUAUUAGCUAGUUGGUGAGGUAACGGCUCACCAAGGCAAUGAUACGUAGCCGAACUGAGAGGUUGAUCGGCCACAUUGGGACUGAGACACGGCCCAAACUCCUACGGGAGGCAGCAGUAGGGAAUCUUCCACAAUGGACGCAAGUCUGAUGGAGCAACGCCGCGUGAGUGAAGAAGGCUUUCGGGUCGUAAAACUCUGUUGUUGGAGAAGAAUGGUCGGCAGAGUAACUGUUGUCGGCGUGACGGUAUCCAACCAGAAAGCCACGGCUAACUACGUGCCAGCAGCCGCGGUAAUACGUAGGUGGCAAGCGUUAUCCGGAUUUAUUGGGCGUAAAGCGAGCGCAGGCGGUUUUUUAAGUCUGAUGUGAAAGCCCUCGGCUUAACCGAGGAAGUGCAUCGGAAACUGGGAAACUUGAGUGCAGAAGAGGACAGUGGAACUUCCAUGUGUAGCGGUGAAAUGCGUAGAUAUAUGGAAGAACACCAGUGGCGAAGGCGGCUGUCUGGUCUGUAACUGACGCUGAGGCUCGAAAGCAUGGGUAGCGAACAGGAUUAGAUACCCUGGUAGUCCAUGCCGUAAACGAUGAAUGCUAGGUGUUGGAGGGUUUCCGCCCUUCAGUGCCGCAGCUAACGCAUUAAGCAUUCCGCCUGGGGAGUACGACCGCAAGGUUGAAACUCAAAGGAAUUGACGGGGGCCCGCACAAGCGGUGGAGCAUGUGGUUUAAUUCGAAGCAACGCGAAGAACCUUACCAGGUCUUGACAUCUUUUGAUCACCUGAGAGAUCAGGUUUCCCCUUCGGGGGCAAAAUGACAGGUGGUGCAUGGUUGUCGUCAGCUCGUGUCGUGAGAUGUUGGGUUAAGUCCCGCAACGAGCGCAACCCUUAUGACUAGUUGCCAGCAUUUAGUUGGGCACUCUAGUAAGACUGCCGGUGACAAACCGGAGGAAGGUGGGGAUGACGUCAAAUCAUCAUGCCCCUUAUGACCUGGGCUACACACGUGCUACAAUGGAUGGUACAACGAGUUGCGAGACCGCGAGGUCAAGCUAAUCUCUUAAAGCCAUUCUCAGUUCGGACUGUAGGCUGCAACUCGCCUACACGAAGUCGGAAUCGCUAGUAAUCGCGGAUCAGCACGCCGCGGUGAAUACGUUCCCGGGCCUUGUACACACCGCCCGUCACACCAUGAGAGUUUGUAACACCCGAAGCCGGUGGCGUAACCCUUUUAGGGAGCGAGCCGUCUAAGGUGGGACAAAUGAUUAGGGUGAAGUCGUAA